UAAACGACUCUCGGCAACGGAUACCUCGGCUCUCACAUAUAUGAAGAACGUAGCGAAAUGCGAUACUUGGUGUGAAUUGUAGAAUCCCGUAAACCAUCGAGUCUUUGAAUGCAAGUUGCGCUCGAAGCCAUUAGGCUGAGGGCACGUCUGCCUGGGCAUCACAC
rnacentral:rRNA from 1 species